CCAGGGUCAAGCGGAUAUCGGACAGGCAUGGAGCGCAGGAAAGCUGCAAUUGUCUGGGAUACUGUGAGGCCACUGAGUGGGGGGCAGGUGGGACUGAGGUGUACCCAGCUGCAUCUGUCUCUUCACCUGCCUCCUGCUCUGGGGACAAUGGCAUCCUUCAGUGAUGUCUUGGUUGUCUUCCUGGUUCUCUUCACCAUGGCCAAUGCAGAAGCACCUCAGAACCACGACCCGUUCACCUAUGACUACCAAUCCCUGCGGAUCGGAGGCCUCAUCAUAGCUGGGAUCCUCUUCAUUUUGGGAAUCCUCAUUAUCCUCAGCAAGAGGUGCCGGUGCAAGUUCAACCAACAGCAGAGAACUGGGGAACCAGAUGAAGAAGAGGGAACUUUCCGCAGCUCCAUCCGCCGUCUGUCCACCCGCAGGCGGUAGAGACACCUGGAGCCUGGAACUCUCCCAGGUCCUGCAGCUCAGCCCCAGCAGAGGAGGAAAGAGAGGGAGGAUUCCCCUGGCACCUGCCGCCUUCCGCCCACCACCUGCGCGCCUCCAGCCACCACAUCUGCCUCCUCCCAGCCCUGUCCCACGGAUUCCGCGGGCCGCCGACUUCCAUUAAAACGUGCUUUUCUUUCCUGA